AUUGAACGCUAGCGGGAUGCUUUACACAUGCAAGUCGAACGGCAGCGCGGACUUCGGUCUGGCGGCGAGUGGCGAACGGGUGAGUGAUGUAUCGGAACGUGCCCAGUAGCGGGGGAUAACUACGCGAAAGCGUAGCUAAUACCGCAUACGCCCUACGGGGGAAAGCAGGGGAUCGUAAGACCUUGCACUAUUGGAGCGGCCGAUAUCGGAUUAGCUAGUUGGUGAGGUAACGGCUCACCAAGGCGACGAUCCGUAGCUGGUUUGAGAGGACGACCAGCCACACUGGGACUGAGACACGGCCCAGACUCCUACGGGAGGCAGCAGUGGGGAAUUUUGGACAAUGGGGGCAACCCUGAUCCAGCCAUCCCGCGUGUGCGAUGAAGGCCUUCGGGUUGUAAAGCACUUUUGGCAGGAAAGAAACGUCGCGGGCUAAUACCCCGUGGAACUGACGGUACCUGCAGAAUAAGCACCGGCUAACUACGU
rnacentral:rRNA from 1 species